GUGUCAGCCGCCGCGGUAAUACCGGCAGCCCAAGUGAUGGCCGAUCUUAUUGGGCCUAAAGCGUCCGUAGCUGGCCGCGCAAGUCUAUCGGAAAAUCCACCCGCCCAACGGGUGGGCGCCCGGUAGAAACUGCGUGGCUUGGGACCGGAAGGCGCGACGGGUACGUCCGGGGUAAGAGUGAAAUCCCGUAAUCCUGGACGGACCGCCGAUGGCGAAAGCACGUCGCGAGAACGGAUCCGACAGUGAGGGACGAAAGCCAGGGUCUCGAACCGGAUUAGAAACCCCUGUAGUCC
rnacentral:rRNA from 1 species